UUUUGUCUCUGGUGUCAGAGCUGAUUUAGUGCUGGGUAAGAGCAACUGAAGUUGUCUUUACGUGGCCAAAGACUGCCAUAGGGUAAACUGCAUCCAUCCUUUUACUUCUGCCAGUGGACAAACAGGUUCCAUGUGGAAGUUUCUAGGAAAAUACAAGACAAGUACUUUUCAAAGGAAUGUACUUGCACUAUAAAGGCUCUUAAUUUCUAUUUGUUAUGACAGGGAUAUUUUUACAUACUCAGAAGGCAAGUGUAUGAUAAUUAGUUUAAAAGGUACCAGCUAUCAAGUAAUUUUUUCUUUGCCUUCUUAAUAAGUGUUGCAGUUUUUCCUAUGAUUCUUUCUCUAGCCUGUACUAUGACAGAAGACCCGUACCAGCACGCUCCUGGAGGGAAUUUCACCAUCUAACCGCUGCCCUGUUGUGAUGUGACAAGGUUGCAUUUACCACUGUAAAUCAAUGAAAUGAAGACAUGCUCAGCGUGGUUCAGGUUCCUGAUGCUCAAGCAUACCCCAGUCCCUUCGGCUGCAGCGAUUAUAUAAUGAUUAUUAUCAACAAGGCUCAAGGUAAUUUAGCAACAGAACAAGAUACUCCAAGACAGAGCCUUGACUGCCCUCGGCUGCUCUUCACUUUUCCAUGCUCUACUAACGAGCUCCUGGGAUUCCAGCCUAGUUCAAUCAAAAUCAACUGGGCCAUUGUACCCAAAUCAAAAUAUCAGCAAGCACAGGAAGAACCCUAGAGAUCAAAAUGCACAAGGAGACAGCAAGAAGGGAAUCCUCCUCAAGUGAGUUAAAACUCCAGUUUGAGUUAAAUUCUCUGGAAAUCCCCACUACUAUGUUCCUGGCAGUGCCUAAUCCCACUCUGUCUGCAGAGGGAUAGCAGCACAUAACGGUAUUUACUUCCUCUGACAGCAUAAUUUGAAAAGAGAAUGAAUUACUUUUUCUACAAAAAAAAAAAAAAAAGAUUCUGUAAGAGGGUUGUUUUCUGUGACUACUCUUUACAUAAUGGUUACCAAAGUUGCAUAAUAUUGAUCCUGUGAUUUUCUGGGAUGGCUG
rnacentral:lncRNA from 1 species